rnacentral:lncRNA from 1 species
GAUAGUGUGCAUAUCUUUAUAUAGCUGAGACUAACACUUCAGGUAUUAACUAACAUAUUAACUGCUACUAACAGACUUAACAGACUAACCACCUUUAUACGUUACUCUAACAUUCUCCCCGUUUUUCUUCAAAUUAGCAAACUUGGCAUCUCUUGAAAAAACUUGAAGAGCAUUUCUAAACGCAGCAAAGUGUUUUGGUGUGAUUGGUUUGGUAAGAACAUCAGCUACUUGAUUGGCUGAUGGAACAUAGUUGACUUGGAGGGAACCAUCAAGAACUUUCUCUUGCACAAAAUGAUGAUCAAUCUCCACGUGUUUCACUCGCGCAUGAUGAGUAGGGUUUGCUGCCAUUGAAACAGUGGAUGUAUUAUCACACUAGACCACUGGGGAUUGUGUGACCUAUAGACCAAGUUCCUCUAACAGCUGUCGAACCCAUAACAACUCCAAUACACAAUUGGCUAGGCUACGAUAUUCAGCUUCAGAUGAUGAGCGGGAUACGACCGCCUGCUUUUUGGAACACCAGGCAAUACGAUUUGGUCCGAGGUACACCACGUAGCCUGUAGUAGACCGUCGAUCUUCCAGAGAUGAUGCCCAGUCAGCAUCACAGUAACACUCCAACUUGAACUGUCCUUUGGAAAAACACAAACCAUGCUCCAUAGUUCCAAUGAGAUAACGCAACACCCUUUUAACUGCCUUCCAAUGCAUCUCACUGGGAGAGUUUAUAAACUGGCUCAGCUUGUUGACGCAAAAGGACAAGUUAGGUCUAGUGAUACAAAAAUACUGAAGCAUGCCAACCAUACUUCGAUACAAGUGACCAUCCACAAAUCGGAGGCGACAAGUUGGGGCGUGCUUACUAUGGGCGUAGGUGUGACUACUGUUCCAAGCAUACCAGCCUUUAUAUAUAAGAUUCUCCAUAACAUACUUCUUUUGAUUGAGAAAUAGCCCCUGCGAUUUGUGUUGAACCUCAAUGCCCAAGAAGAAGUUUAGGCGGCCCAUGUCCUUAAGAGCGAACUUGUGAUGAAGUUGAAUCACAGCAUUAUCUAUGUCAGUAUUCACAUUAUUGGUGAUCACUAUGUCAUCCACAUACACCAUAAGCAACAAACAACCACUGGGUGAUGAGCGGACAAACAAAGAGGGAUCCACUUUCGAAGCAUGAAAACCAAGCUGGUCAAGAAGAAACUGCUUGAGUUUAUGGAACUAUGCACGUGGUGCUUGUCUGAGACCAUAUAAGGCUUUAUUCAACUUGCAAACAAGUUUCUGUUCAACAUGACCUACCAUUUCAAAACUAGGUGGCUGCUCCAUGUAGAUAUCCUCAGUCAAUUUGCCAUUAAGAAAGACCUUAUUGACAUCAAUUUGCCUCAGGAGCCACCCUUGCAUGACUGCUAUAGCAAGAACUGUCCUAAUGGUUACUGUUCAAACUACUGGACUGAAGGUGCCUCUGAAAUCCAGACCUACAUGCUGAGAAAACCCCUUAGCAACUAGCCGAGCUUUAUACCGAUCCAUAGUCCCAUCAACCUUCUUAUUCACCUUAAAAAGCCAUUUGCAUCCGAUAGCUCUGCGAUUGCUGGGAAGAGGAUAAAGACACCAUGUAUUAUUGGAAAGGAGAGCCUGAAGCUCAUUUUGGACUACAACUUUCCAAGAAUCAUGCUGCAUGGCUUUAUGAAUAUCAGAAGGAGUAUCAGAGGAGAUCGACGAUGCUGAGCUCAUAAAGACUCUUGGUUUAAAAAUGCCUGCUUUAUCGCGAGUGACCAUUGGAUGGGAGUUAAGAGGAAAAGAGGGUGGGUGAAUGGACGGAUUGGACAUGGUAGGGUUGGGUGAGUUGGACAUAAGAGGGCUAGAGGUAGUAAGUAUUGGGUCAGGAGAGUUUGGCAGAGAUGCUAUAGGUGUAGAGUGUACUGGUGAAUUUAUUGUAGGAACAGACGUUGACGAUGCACCUGGUCUGGUAGCUGAGGAUAAGACAAGAAACUUAGAGUUGGACUUUGGAAAGGUAUUUGACUUUGUAGAAGCUAGGGGACCCAAACUUCUGAAAGGAAAGGUGGCUUCAUGAAACGUCACGUGGCGGGAUACGUAAAUUUUUCCAUCAGAGGCCUGGCACCUAUACCCUUUGUGUAAAGGUGAGUAUCCUAAGAAUGUACAAGGGGUGGAGCAAAAUUAGAGUUUGUGCCUGUUGUAUGAUCUCAGGUUUGGAAAGCAUAAACAACCAAAAACCCGAAGGGAAAGAUAACACGGUUUAGUGUGAAACAGUUUUUCAUAGGGUGAGAUAUUACCUAAAAGGGAAGAUGGUAAUCGAUUGAUGAGGUAUAUGGCACUGGUGAAGGCAUCAUUUCAAUGAGCCAGCAUGGACAGACCAACUUCAACUAUCUGUCUAUGCUUGCGUUCAACAAGACCAUUCUGGGCAGAGGCAUAUGGGCAAGCAAGUCUUUGUAAAAUCCCUUGUUGAAAGAGAUACAACUUUAACUCUUGAAACUCACCCCUUCCAUCUGUUUGUAGUGUUUUAAGUUUGAAGCCAAGUAGUCUCUUAGCCAUUCUAUGAAACUGUGGAAAGAUGGUUCAUACUUCUGACUUUUGUCUCAUGAAAUAAACCCAUGUAUACCUUGUGCAUGCAUCAGUGAAGGCUACAUAAUACUGAAAUCUAUUUGAAGAGAUUGGUGUCGGGCCCCAAACAUCAGCUACCACCAAUUGUAGUGGUGUGGCAUACUCAGAAGUAGAAUUGCAAAAUGGUAGGUUUCGUUCUUUACCCAAAUGGCAAGCAACACAAUCGAAUGACUCUUUAUUUGUAUCAAAAGGUAUCUUACAAUGAAGUAAAGCCUUGGUAAGAAGAUUUUUACAAGGAUGCCCUAGCCUAGAGUGCCAGACACUUAAUGGCACAUAAGCACUUGCUGUAAGACAACGAGCUGAGUCUGAGGAGGAGCUAGUCUGGAAUUAUUUCUUCAAGUGGAGCUUGUAUAACCCACGAUGCACCGAGCCACGCAAAAGGACCUCUCUGGUGUGUCACGUACUUGACACUGUGUAGGAAGAAACUUGAACAUCACCUGAUUAUCUUUUGUAAAUUGAGAUACUAAUAGCAAAUUUUUCGUUAUACCAAGUACAUGUAACAAAAGACGCAUAUAUAUAUGGCGUGUUCUAGUGAGCAAAGAAGACUGACCAGUAGAGUGUAUAGAGAGAGUAAUGUCAUUACCAACAUAGACUUUACCUGGGCCAUUGUAAGGAGAACUCUUACCAAUAGCAGCGGCUGAAUGAGUGAGAUGAUGCGUUGCUCCUGAGUCGGGGUAUUAGGCAUUGUCACCAACAGUCUCAGGGGUUGCAAUAUAAGCUUGCGGCGGAGAGCUGGAAGAGGUUAGGGUGGGACUAGGUUGUGAGGAAUUGGAAGACUAUGUAGGUGCUGAAUUCGGUGGAAUGAACCACCCAGGCUGUAGGUGAGGAGCAGCAGAUGGGAAAACGUUCAUAGGCGAUGACAUCCAAGGCGAAAUGGGAGCCCCUUGCCCAAACAUGCAGACAUUCGCCUGUGAAGAAGGAGGGGGUCGAUAGCCAGUGCUUUUGUAAGACGUAUGAAACCGAUGAUAGCAAUGAUCAACCAAGUGCCCCAUUUUUCCACACAACUGACAUUGAAUGCAUGCUCCAGACGACCUACCACGACUACGACUUCGAGUAGCUGUAGUAGGACGAUAGACCGGAGGUGAGUCACUGUUGGUAGCUGAAGCUGUAGGCUGAUGGGAAACCACGUUGGCCGAGCUAGGAGACUCAAAGACAACAGCCUGAUGACGAGCCUCUACAUCAAUCAGCAUAGUCAUGACCCCUUGAACAGUAUAGUGUGUGUGACUCGCUGUGAUGAUGGUGAUAACAGAGUCAUAUUCGGGUGGUAAUCCGUUAAGAAUCGCAGUGACAUGUUCACGCUCACUAAUAACCUCGCCACAACUAGCAAGAUUGUCACAGAAACCUUUGACCUUAAUUAAGAAUUCUUUCAUUGAAAAAUCGCCCUUGCAUUGGGAAUGUAAAGCUCUACGAAAAAACAUUAAACGAGAGGUAGUUUUGCUAUCAUAAAGAGUAGCAAUUGCAUUCCAAAUUUGAGCGCUCGUGUCUAGACCAAUAAAAUGGGGAAGAACAGUGGGACUUACAGAAGACAAGAGCCAUAACGCAAGCGCACUAUCUUGUUGCUCAAAGCGAGUGAACUCAAGAUUUUCUUGAGGAACCCCAUCAGCUUCUGGAAGCAUUUGAGGAGGAGGAACAGUGCGGGUGUCCAGAAAGCGCUGAAGUUUAUAAGUCUUGAUCACAAGCAGUACUGGUUGUCGCCAUAGAAGAUAAUUAUCAUCGUCAAGAAGCACACUAAUCUUUUUAAUAGAAAAGAACUGAGUGUCGAAACCAUCAGCGACAUUGGAAACCAUAUCUGGUGUAGCCGAAUGAACAGCAGGACUCGAAAACGCCAUGAACAGAAAGAAAAAUGAUCAAAACAAACGCUAGGAAAGAUUAGACCUCUGAUACCAUGUUAAACUAUACAAAGAUGACAUUUCAAGAAAACUGUUUUCAUUAUUUCAACUCAUUCAACUCAUUCAAUAUGGAUAGUGUGCAUAUCUUUAUAUAGCUGAGACUAACACUUUCAGGUAUUAACUAACAUAUUAACUGCUGCUAAUAGACUUAACAGACUAACCACGUUUAUACGUUACUCUAACAACGUAAUCCAACAAACCAGGACUGUGCACAUGGGGUACUUUGGGAAUAGAUACUGUCAAAAAGAGUAUCAAGCUGCUGUUUGGGGGUCAAAUUGGGAGGCUCCAGGGCUUGCGGUUGGUUUCUCUUCCAUGGAAAACCUACCAAAAGGUUAUGCAGAGGGGCUUCCCACUGUAUCUAAACGUACUUAUCUUUUAGAAUUUAGAUAGAAUGGAAAUGUCUGCAUUGAACCACCACGCGGCAUGUGGGAGUUUCCAUCUUUUGCAUGACCCACCAACCAAACCAAUUAUUUCCUUUUAGGAUAAGGUUUUAACACUUAAGUGGACUGCAUGUGCCGAUGCUCCAUCAAAUUCAACCACUCAGCAUUAUACCUUUUGAUUGAACCUAGUUUUAACUCUCGUCUACCUACACUAUCAC